AUCCCAUGAUGAGGACAGGCAAGGAUGUAUUCUUGUAGCCUCUCCCAAGCUUCAGGGAUUGACUCCAUCCCUGUCUGCUGGAAACACGAUAUUUUCCCCUACAGGGC